rnacentral:rRNA from 1 species
UACGGAGGGUGCAAGCGUUGCUCGGAAUUAUUGGGCGUAAAGGGCAGGUAGGUGGUCUUAUUUGUCCGGGGUGAAAUCCUUGAGCUUAACUCAAGAAGUGCCCCGGAGACGGUGAGACUAGAGUUUUGGAGAGGGUCGUGGAAUUCCCGGUGUAGCGGUGGAAUGCGCAGAUAUCAGGAGGAACACCAAUAGCGAAGGCAGCUCGCUGGGACGGUAUUGACGCUAAGGCGCGAAAGCGUGGGGAGCAAACAGG